GGCGAACGCUGGCGGCGUGCUUAACACAUGCCAGUCGAACGGAAAGGCCCUGCUUUUGUGGGGUGCUCGAGUGGCGAACGGGUGAGUAACACGUGAGUAACCUGCCCUUGACUUUGGGGUAACUUCAGGAAACUGGGGCUCUUACCGGAUAGGAGCUCCUGCUGCGUGGUGGGGGUUGGAAAGUUUCGGCUGUUGUGGCUGGAAUCGCGGCUUAUCCGCUUGUUGGUGGGGUAGUGGCUUACCCGGCGUGUGAAGGAUAGCCGGCCUGAGAGCUUGACCGGCGACAUUGGGACUGAGAGACGGAGCAGAAGCGUAUGGGAGGCAGUGGGGGGGAAUAUGGCACAACGGGCGGAAGCGUGAGGUAGCAACGCCGCGUGCGGGAUGACGUCCUACGGGUUGUAAACAGCUUUCGCAUGAGACGAAGCGUGAGUGACGGUAACGGGUAAAGAAGCACCGGCUAACUACGUG
rnacentral:rRNA from 1 species